rnacentral:rRNA from 1 species
UACGAGGGGGGCGAGCGUUGUUCGGAAUUAUUGGGCGUAAAGGGUGCGUAGGCGGUUUGGUAAGUCUGAUGUGAAAUCUAUGGGCUCAACUCAUAGUCUGCAUCGGAAACUGCCGGGCUUGAGUAUGGGAGAGGUGAGUGGAAUUCCUGGUGUAGCGGUGAAAUGCGUAGAUAUCAGGAAGAACACCUAUGGCGGAGGCAGCUCGCUGGGACGGGACUGACGCUGAGACGCGAAAGCGUGGGGAUCGAACAGG